UACGUAGGGCGCAAGCGUUAUCCGGAAUUAUUGGGCGUAAAGAGCUCGUAGGCGGUGUGUCGCGUCGGCCGUGAAAAACCUGGGGCUCAACUCUGGGCGUGCGGUCGAUACGGGCAUCACUUGAGUUCGGCAGGGGAGACUGGAAUUCCUGGUGUAGCGGUGAAAUGCGCAGAUAUCAGGAAGAACACCCGUGGCUAAGGCGGCUCUCUAGUACGGUACUGACGCUGAGACGCGAAAGCGUGGGGAGCGAACAGG
rnacentral:rRNA from 1 species